rnacentral:rRNA from 1 species
GUGGGGAAUAUUGCACAAUGGGGGAAACCCUGAUGCAGCCAUGCCGCGUGUGUGAAGAAGGCCUUCGGGUUGUAAAGCACUUUCAGCGAGGAGGAAAGGUCAGUAGCUAAUAUCUGCUGGCUGUGACGUUACUCGCAGAAGAAGCACCGGCUAACUCCGUGCCAGCAGCCGCGGUAAUACGGAGGGUGCAAGCGUUAAUCGGAAUUACUGGGCGUAAAGCGCACGCAGGCGGUUGGAUAAGUUAGAUGUGAAAGCCCCGGGCUCAACCUGGGAAUUGCAUUUAAAACUGUCCAGCUAGAGUCUUGUAGAGGGGGGUAGAAUUCCAGGUGUAGCGGUGAAAUGCGUAGAGAUCUGGAGGAAUACCGGUGGCGAAGGCGGCCCCCUGGACAAAGACUGACGCUCAGGUGCGAAAGCGUGGGGAGCAAACAGGAUUAGAUACCCUUGUAGUCC